UGUGCCCUAACGUAUUGGGCUGCGAUUUCUUUAUAAAUCUUAAACAAAUGAAUAUUCUUUUAAAUUUUAUUACACGAGUGUAAUACCAAUUAUUUGCCUGAGCCCACAUAAUAAACUAAAACAGAAAAAAAUAAACAGUCCAACACUAGCAGGCCCAAUAACAAGCCCAACAGCCAAUUUUCAAACCCUAGCCCAGCAAAAUCAAUUUGCUGAAACCCUAAAAGCCUCCCUAGCAGCACGUAGCGCUGCAAGCCCCCACCUCCAGCAAGCGUUCAGUCGCCACAGGACUCGGAGAUCGGCCUCCCCAUGCGCAUCAUUCGCGCGCACGGCACCUGCAAAAAACGGGCUCAAAAGAGUCCGAAUGAGAAGAAACAGUAAAAUAGUACUUGUAUUUGAUCUUUUUCGGGCUAUAAAAGCCUUUGAAAAUCUGUAAAGAGGGGGUGGGGAAUCAAGAGAGAACAGAAAAUAUCAGUAUUUUUAGGUGAUUUUUUUCCUUCUUGGAAGUGUCCAUCGUUUAUUUAUUUAUAUAUAUUUUUGUAUUUUCUUUUAUUUGGAUUUUAUUUCACUUAAAGUAACAAAGAAAAGAAGGAGAAAGGAACAUACCUGGUGCCGUUGUGGUGUCCCCUCUCCGUCGCAAUCGGAGGCCGGGGCUUCAUCGGAGGCCAAAGGUCGGCCUAGCGGCGGCGGCAAUAGGAAAAUUGAAAAACCCUAGCAGAGAAGGCUAGGG
rnacentral:lncRNA from 1 species